CCUACGGGAGGCAGCAGUGGGGAAUUUUGGACAAUGGGCGCAAGCCUGAUCCAGCCAUGCCGCGUGCGGGAAGAAGGCCUUCGGGUUGUAAACCGCUUUUGUCAGGGAAGAAAUCCUUUGGGUUAAUACCCCGGGGGGAUGACGGUACCUGAAGAAUAAGCACCGGCUAACUACGUGCCAGCAGCCGCGGUAAUACGUAGGGUGCAAGCGUUAAUCGGAAUUACUGGGCGUAAAGCGUGCGCAGGCGGUUGUGUAAGACAGGUGUGAAAUCCCCGGGCUUAACCUGGGAACUGCACUUGUGACUGCACGGCUAGAGUGCGGCAGAGGGGGAUGGAAUUCCGCGUGUAGCAGUGAAAUGCGUAGAUAUGCGGAGGAACACCGAUGGCGAAGGCAAUCCCCUGGGCCUGCACUGACGCUCAUGCACGAAAGCGUGGGGAGCAAACAGGAUUAGAUACCCUGGUAGUCCACGCCCUAAACGAUGUCAACUGGUUGUUGGACGGCUUGCUGUUCAGUAACGAAGCUAACGCGUGAAGUUGACCGCCUGGGGAGUACGGCCGCAAGGUUGAAACUC
rnacentral:rRNA from 1 species